UCACUUUAAUUAUGUAUUAGAAAAUCAGUAAUCUUAAAUUAGGAUGCAUCAAUGGAGAAGAAGGCAAUUGUAAUCACAAUACAAUAAUAGAUCUACAAAUACCAAGCAAUACAUUAAAUCAAAAAUCUCAGUAACACUGUUAUUAUGUACUCCCUGUGGUCUUAUUAAUGUCAGCUUAUUGAUAGCUCGAUUACCAGCCAAAUAGUUUCGAUGUUUUCUAUACUAUGAAGAAAAUUUGAUCUGAUUAGAUUAAUUCAGAUGUAAAUUUAUGUUAUACGGUGAAUGUAUCGAGUCAUAUAUUAUGCAGAAUAUAUUGAGAAAAUGGUAAACUAACUAAAAGUGCUAACAAAAU